CAGCCUUGACAGUAACAGCGAAGGCUCAAGUAACAGCAUCUUGAAAUGUUUUUUCCGUCUCUAGAAUCAUUGACUCCUGCUAUACAAGUGUGUGAAAAAACUGAACCAGAAUAUGACUACAUUCCGUUUGCUAACGUGAGAAUGAGAAGGCCUCUGGAGAAGGAAAUGGAAGGAGAGCCAGUGCUGUACACUUUUGAAGAUGAAAAACCAACACGCUUGGGCAGAGGACACCUCAUCAUUUUUGCUGUUAUGCUGCUUUUAUCCUUGGUAAUAGCGAAAUCUGCUCUCGUGAUGGCGUGUCUUAGAUAACCUGAUAUUUAAGAAGUCACAAAAACAUCUUGUGACCAACAGAAGAUUUAGACUGUGAUAACUCUGGACUGCCUUCUUUCAAGAAUCUGUGUAUUGCAGGCUCUUCAAAAUGUCCACAUGAUUGGUAUGCAUUCCAGGACAAAUGUUACUACAUCUCCUCAGAAAUAGGCAUGUGGGAUUUCGCCCAGAAUGCCUGUCAGACUCAGAAUGCAAAUAUGAUAACCAUCGCCAAUCAAACAGAACAGGAUCUUCUAAGAUAUAAAGUGCUUCCUGAAACUGAUGUCUGGAUUGGGUUAACUUACAUAGAGAAAGAAAAAAAGUGGAAGUGGGUGGAUGGCACAGAUUUAUCCUAUGAAUCNUGGGAAGAUAAGUAUAUUGUGUUCAAAGACAAGGAUGGCUACAACAACUAUUGUGUUAUUGCAAAGGGAGACAAUAAGGAGUGGACCAAUAUCAACUGUAAGAAGCGCUCUAAAUAUGUUUGUGAAAAGAAGAAAAGUGUUUCCUGUAUCUUGCAGUCACCACUUUUGCCCCAUUGAAAUUAAGACCUUUCAAAUACAAUUUCACAAACAAGAUUGUACAAAGUACACCAAAAAUGUAAUAGGAACACAGCAAACUUAAUACAACACACAUAAAAUUUGCCUCAUCUGUGAAGAUAUGUUUUGUUCUGCCCUUAUCUACUGAAUAGCAUUCUUACUAUCAAAAAUGGAUAAUGUCGUGGUCUUUUUUCCUUAUUUUUUUCCCUUAUUAUUUUCAUUCAUUACACUUUUCCACAGUUCUUAUAACUUUGUCUUCUGCUGAAGCCAUCUAGUGGCCAUUCACUGUUAUGGUCAGUCAAAUAUUUUCCAACUUUCAACUAAAGAAUAGCUUCCACCUUCAGCCAUUAAUUUUACUGCACUUUCAUUGUUAAAUCCAUUAAUCUUUCCAGACACCUUAUCUCUUAGUUGAUAAGCAAUUGGUUUCAGUGUAUUUUAAUGAAUUACUAGAUUCCCAGGCUCGUUAAAAACUUUAAAUGAUAUCUCUACAAGUAUUCUAACAUCGUGCUCAAUUAUAUCAUUUAGACUUUCAGCAACUGUUCUCAGGGCUAUAAUUGUAGAAACUUUUGUCUGAAUGUUCUAGAUGUUUAUCUUAAGUUUGCUAUCUUCAUAAAUUAAAAAAAAAGAAUCAGUCAAACUUAAUGCCUUUAAAGAUGACUCACAACAUUUUCGGGGGUGUCGUUCCUCAUUUCUGUACAGCUCCACCCCUAUGCGACGACUGCGAAAUUAGAGGAAAAGUUCCUCUCAGCAACUACAUUUGGCAAUCUUCCAAAAGUCUCACAUGCUCAUUUUUAUUAAUAUAAACAAAAAGAAAGUACCUGUCUAAUUUUCACUGCAAAUUUUUCAAGGGAAUGNCCUCAAUGUUUCCUGAGCCCACGUUUCUUGAUGGAAUUUAUUGGACUAGGGUUGCUUGCUUGACUGUACAUAAAUGCAGAGAACACACCUGUAAGAGUUGCAAUCUAUGGUACUUGUGCACAGGAUUCUGUAGCUGCUUAUGCACACAAACACUGUACUCAAGGAAAAAAAGUUUCAGAGUGAGCCAUGAAAUGACUGCCAAACACAGACAAAAUUUAUAUUCUUUUCACAAAUGAAUAGUUCAGACCUUGCGCAAAUAAUACUUUUCCACUUGUACUGAAGGUCAUUUUCUAAUACAGCACAAUAUCCUGUACCUGGUUGAUUCUCUGAGUCUUUUGAGUCCCAGUUCCUGAAAGCUUGUUUCUGAACAUUUGUUCUUGUAUCCACUAAAUCCAGAGGGAAACCAGAGUCUUUCAAGUCCCAGUUCCUAAAAACAGAGAAACUAUUUGUUCUUGUAUCCACUAAAACCAGAGGGAAAACUGCUUCCCUAUUGCUAGAAAUUCUUGGUCACUUGAAGGAAAGCACAUACACAACUUCACAACUCCUGUGCAUUUUGUCAAUAUUUCCCCAUGCACUGACUGUACUGCAACCAGUGGCCUUUUUAGGGGAAAGUGCGACCAUGGCUCAGCCUGGGAGUUUGUUCCCUCAGCCUGGCUGGGUUGGAUGCCUAGUGCUGGUCCUGCUGAAUCAUGCUUUNGUCCACAAUGGAUAGAAACGCAGUUCAGGGAGACCAAGGCAAGGCUUCUCCUUGGCCCUCCCACCACCAACAAUACUCCCACCACCACCUCCAUCAUUCCAUUCCAGGGGCAGGGCUGUUACACUGUUAUACACUGGAAUAAUCUCCCCACAAAGGUACAUCAGACAUCAACAUUAAGCACCUUCUGAUGUCUAAUAAAAAUAUAUAUAUGUUUAAUCUGAUGUUUGAU
ensembl:lncRNA